rnacentral:snRNA from 1 species
AAACUUAAUAAACGUCUAAAAAGUGAAAGUGAAAGUGGUUCACCCAGGGCGAGGCUCAGCCAUUGCACUCCGGCUGUGCUGACCCCUGCGAAUUCCCCAAAUGUGGGAAUCUCGACUGCAUAAUUUGUGGUAGUGGGGGACUGCGUUCGCGCUCUCCCCUG